rnacentral:tRNA from 1 species
CCGGUGUAGCUCAGUUGGUUAGAGCAUACGGUUCAUACCCGUAGUGUCACUGGAUCGAAUCCAGUCACCGCCACCA